UAGGGAAUCUUCGGCAAUGGACGAAAGUCUGACCGAGCAACGCCGCGUGAGUGAAGAAGGUUUUCGGAUCGUAAAACUCUGUUGUUAGAGAAGAACAAGGAUGAGAGUAGAAUGUUCAUCCCUUGACGGUAUCUAACCAGAAAGGCACGGCUAACUACGUGCCAGCAGCUGCGGUAAUACGUAGGUGGCAAGCGUUGUCCGGAUUUAUUGGGCGUAAAGGGUACGUAGGCGGUUUAAUAAGUCCUAAUUAAAAGGCUAUGGCUCAACCAUAGUAUGGUUAGGAAACUGUUGAACUUGAGUAGAUGAGGGGAAAGUGGAAUUCCAUGUGUAGCGGUGAAAUGCGUAGAUAUAUGGAGGAACACCAAUGGCGAAGGCAACUUUCUGGAAUCAAACUGACGCUGAGGUACGAAGGCGUGGGGAGCAAACAGG
rnacentral:rRNA from 1 species